GUAGAAGGAUCUCUGGUUGGAGAUCCUUUCCUUGUGGAGUCGUUCCUGUGAGCCUAGAUGUUUGGAGACAGGGAGUGCGUGGAGUGGUGUGUGGGGAUCAUAGCUACAGCAUCAAGCUCACCUGCUCGUGUUGGCUGUCAUGUGCAGUACGCUUGUUUUUGAUUGCAUCUCAUCUGUCCCAAAGCUAACACAGAAUCAGCCCUUUAGAGUGUGAGAACAGCCACCAUAGCAGAGAGACGACAGGAAGAACAAGUGCUUGAGUUAAUGUGUGUACUAGACCAACAGAUGAACAACUUCCUGGAAAGCAACCAAAGUGGAAUGAACUAGAGUUAUAAAUAAAGCAUUGCUAGUGCAUGUACGGCAAGUCUGGAAGCUUGUCAUAGCGCCUGCUUUUUAUUAUGCUGUUUUUUGUCAGUGUUUGACACAUGCCCUGGCUUGUAGUAGAGCAACAUUUGUGCGCUCUUGUUUUCCCAAAAAAAAACAAGUGAGCCUGCUUUGUUCCAUUCAGGAAACAAAAUCUGCAACCAUGCAUUUAAAAAAACUGGGGAACGCAUUGUACAGCCAGCGUUUAUCCUCUGACAGCCAUGUUCCAAGAGGGAAUGGAUUUUUAAACACAGGUGUUUGGAGGAAGUUUUCAACUUGGCCUAAAAGAAUUUGUCAGGCCUGUGAACCCCACAAAACCCUGCUAGAGAUGGUUCACAGUUGGUUUGUGGCAGAGGCAGGCAUACUGGCCUGAUGCUGGAGCACCACACUACCUGAGGAAGAGUUGGCCUUGUAAGCUGGAGCAGUGUGGGAAGGGCUGGCAAGAUCUGCCAGCUUGAACCAGGACUUCUUCCACCAUCCCUGGAAGCACUAUGUUGAGGAGGAGCUGGAGCAGAAAAGAAUGCUUUGGCUAGAGGAAAGAGUUGUUAUUGCUUUUGGUUUGCUCCUCAAUCAGCAGUCAGAUGAUUGAAUUUGCAGUACAUAAGGCUACAGCAACAAUAGCCUUCCUCUUAAUAAAAAACUAGCACCUUACAAAGGGUGAGCAGUUGCUGUCUGUAGUGUGUGGUCUUAGUUCUUCUAAUAGAAAGUAAGCAUUUGUCUCCAUAAGCAGGAAUAUCUUACUUUGCUUUAAAUUUCUGUAGGCUAAGCAAAUAACUCCUUGUGUAAAUUGAUGGCUAAACUGUAUCAGCUGUAUGUAAAUCCAAUUUUUUUGUCCAUGAAGCUGAUUUAGCUAAUAAUUUUUAAUGAUUUUUCACUUUAGUAGUUAGCUGUUCUUUCACAAGCUAUUUCAGUUUGAUUUUGUGUUGUUUCCUUGAGCACUAAUGGAAGUUAUUUAGGCAAUAAAGUUGGUGAGGACAAUCCAAUAAAGGAGACCUAGAAAAGCUGU
ensembl:lncRNA